UACGGGGGGGGUAAGCGUUGUUCGGAAUUACUGGGCGUAAAGGGCUCGUAGGCGGCCAACUAAGUCAUACGUGAAAUCCCUCAGCUUAACUGGGGAACUGCGUGUGAUACUGGAUGGCUUGGAUUUGGGAGAGGGAUGCGGAAUUCCAGGUGUAGCGGUGAAAUGCGUAGAUAUCUGGAGGAACACCGGUGGCGAAGGCGGACCUCUGGGCCAUUACUGACGCUGAGGAGCGAAAGCGUGGGGAGCGAACAGG
rnacentral:rRNA from 1 species